rnacentral:rRNA from 1 species
UACGUAGGGUGCGAGCGUUAAUCGGAAUUACUGGGCGUAAAGUGUGCGCAGGCCGCCGAGCAAGUCGAGUGUGAAAGCCCCGAGCUUAACUUGGGAACUGCGCUCGAAACUACUUGGCUAGAGUCUGAAAGAGGGUGGUGGAAUUCCGGGUGUAGCGGUGAAAUGCGUAGAGAUCCGGAGGAAUCCCAGAGGCGAAGGCGGCCACCUGGUUCAGCACUGACGCUCAGACACGACAGCAUGGGGAGCGAACGGG